rnacentral:rRNA from 1 species
AAUAUUGGUCAAUGGAGGCAACUCUGAACCAGCCAAGUCGCGUGAAGGAUGACUGCCCUACGGGUUGUAAACUUCUUUUUUAAGGGAAUAAAGUGAGCCACGUGUGGCUUUUUGCAUGUACCUUACGACUAAGGAUCGGCUAACUCCGUGCCCGCAGCCGCGGUAAUCCGGAGGAUCCCAGCGUUACCCGGAUUUAUUGGGUUUAAAGGGUGCGCAGGCGGAAUAUUAAGUCGGAGGUGAAAGUUUGCAGAUUAACUGUAAAAUUGCCGUUGAAACUGGUUUUCUUGAGUGUAUAUGAAGUAGGCGGAAUUUGUAGUGUAGCGGUGAAAUGCAUAGAUAUUACAAGGAACUCCGAUUGCGAAGGCAGCUUACUAAAAUACAACUGACGCUCAGGCACGAAGGCGUGGGUAUCAAACA